CCUACGGGUGGCUGCAGUGGGGAAUAUUGGACAAUGGGGGCAACCCUGAUCCAGCCAUGCCGCGUGUGUGAAGAAGGCCCUCGGGUUGUAAAGCACUUUCAGUGGGGAAGAACGCCUUGUGGUUAAUACCCAUCAGGAAAGACAUCACUCACAGAAGAAGCACCGGCUAACUCCGUGCCAGCAGCCGCGGUAAUACGGAGGGUGCGAGCGUUAAUCGGAAUUACUGGGCGUAAAGCGCGCGUAGGUGGCUUGAUAAGCCGGUUGUGAAAGCCCCGGGCUCAACCUGGGAACGGCAUCCGGAACUGUCAAGCUAGAGUGCAGGAGAGGAAGGUAGAAUUCCCGGUGUAGCGGUGAAAUGCGUAGAGAUCGGGAGGAAUACCAGUGGCGAAGGCGGCCUUCUGGACUGACACUGACGCUGAGGUGCGAAAGCGUGGGUAGCAAACAGGAUUAGAUACCCGUGUAGUC
rnacentral:rRNA from 1 species